GUGCGAAAUAUUACUGUAAACGGCCGCCCUAGCGUGAGGGUGCUAAGGUAGCGAAAUUCCUUGCCUUUUGAUUGUAGGCCUGCAUGAAUGGUUUAACGAGGGUUUAACUGUCUCUUGAUUUAAAAUUGAAAUUGUACUGAAGGUGAAGAUACCUUCAUUAAAAAGUCAGACAAAAAGACCCCGUGCAACUUUGAAAAUUAACUUUAUUCAGAAGUGAAAGAUUUUUAGGUGGGGCGCCUAGAAAGUAAAUCUAACCUUUCUGAACAUUUAGUUCUUUCCGGACUUGACCCGAUUAUAUUCGAUCAUAGGAGAAGUUACGCCGGGGAUAACAGGCUAAUCCUUUAGUAGAGCUCGUAUUGGCUAAAGGGAUUGGCACCUCGAUGUUGAAUCAGGGAUGAUAGCUUCAAGGCGUAGAGGCUUUGAGAGUAGGUCUGUUCGACCUUUAAUACCCU
rnacentral:rRNA from 1 species